CGCUUUGCAAGAAGAUGAUUGAAGUAAAAGCCCCAAAUCGUCGUUCGUCCUCAACCUCAGCUGGAGAUCGAAGAGAAAGCCCCAAAGUUGUCCUAAACCCUAACAUAAAUCCUAAAUUUCCAUAGCUGAGGCUCAGAUAUACGAUUUCAAAGAAGUGAGCCGCCCGAUUAUAUUGGAUCCUUAACCCAGAAAACGAAGGAGAAAUGGAGCAUCAGGCGAUGGUGUGCUAAGAAUGCGAGAAUCCGAACUUUGUGGACAAUUUCGAAUCCUGGGAGGCGAUUCGCUGUGUGUGCAAAGGUAAAAAAUUGGAUUUGGUGCAAAUAUUAGAAUUUGAAUUGUAGCAGGUGCAAAUGUUAAUUUACAGAGUGUGUUUUGUGCAGGGUAGAGGAGGUUGUGAUUUCUGGGUUUGGUAUGAUGUGGAAAUGUGUGAAAGGUCUAAAGUUGUGAUUCCAAGGUUGCUAAAAUCGCGGGAUAAGUUGGAGAAUUCACUAGCAAAGGCUAGACGCAGAGAGAAGGUUUUUUGUGCAGCAUUGGUGGUGUCGUGGAUGCUUGUUGCAAUGUCCUUCUUUGGACGGAAUGGUGGAUCAGAUGGACUGAAGCUGAAAACUUUGGAAUUGGCAUGAAAAGGGGUGUUUUAAGGAUGCACUGUGCUUUUGGUUUGGGAAGUACUGUGCUUUUUGUUAGGUCUGCAUUGUGCCUUUGGUAUGGAAAGCAGUGUGGUUUUGGUUAUG
rnacentral:lncRNA from 1 species